rnacentral:rRNA from 89 species
UUAAGUUAUUAAGGGCGCACGGUGGAUGCCUUGGCACUAGAAGCCGAUGAAGGACGUUACUAACGACGAUAUGCUUUGGGGAGCUGUAAGUAAGCUUUGAUCCAGAGAUUUCCGAAUGGGGAAACCCAGCAUGAGUUAUGUCAUGUUAUCGAUAUGUGAAUACAUAGCAUAUCAGAAGGCACACCCGGAGAACUGAAACAUCUUAGUACCCGGAGGAAGAGAAAGAAAAUUCGAUUCCCUUAGUAGCGGCGAGCGAAACGGGAAGAGCCCAAACCAAAAAGCUUGCUUGUUGGGGUUGUAGGACACUCUAUACGGAGUUACAAAGGACGACAUUAGACGAAUCAUCUGGAAAGAUGAAUCAAAGAAGGUAAUAAUCCUGUAGUCGAAAAUGUUGUCUCUCUUGAGUGGAUCCUGAGUACGACGGAGCACGUGAAAUUCCGUCGGAAUCUGGGAGGACCAUCUCCUAAGGCUAAAUACUCUCUAGUGACCGAUAGUGAACCAGUACCGUGAGGGAAAGGUGAAAAGCACCCCGGAAGGAGAGUGAAAUAGAACCUGAAACCGUGUGCUUACAAGUAGUCAGAGCCCGUUAAUGGGUGAUGGCGUGCCUUUUGUAGAAUGAACCGGCGAGUUACGAUUUGAUGCAAGGUUAAGCAGUAAAUGUGGAGCCGUAGCGAAAGCGAGUCUGAAUAGGGCGUUUAGUAUUUGGUCGUAGACCCGAAACCAGGUGAUCUACCCUUGGUCAGGUUGAAGUUCAGGUAACACUGAAUGGAGGACCGAACCGACUUACGUUGAAAAGUGAGCGGAUGAACUGAGGGUAGCGGAGAAAUUCCAAUCGAACCUGGAGAUAGCUGGUUCUCUCCGAAAUAGCUUUAGGGCUAGCCUCAAGUGAUGAUUAUUGGAGGUAGAGCACUGUUUGGACGAGGGGCCCCUCUCGGGUUACCGAAUUCAGACAAACUCCGAAUGCCAAUUAAUUUAACUUGGGAGUCAGAACAUGGGUGAUAAGGUCCGUGUUCGAAAGGGAAACAGCCCAGACCACCAGCUAAGGUCCCAAAAUAUAUGUUAAGUGGAAAAGGAUGUGGCGUUGCCCAGACAACUAGGAUGUUGGCUUAGAAGCAGCCAUCAUUUAAAGAGUGCGUAAUAGCUCACUAGUCGAGUGACACUGCGCCGAAAAUGUACCGGGGCUAAACAUAUUACCGAAGCUGUGGAUUGUCCUUUGGACAAUGGUAGGAGAGCGUUCUAAGGGCGUUGAAGCAUGAUCGUAAGGACAUGUGGAGCGCUUAGAAGUGAGAAUGCCGGUGUGAGUAGCGAAAGACGGGUGAGAAUCCCGUCCACCGAUUGACUAAGGUUUCCAGAGGAAGGCUCGUCCGCUCUGGGUUAGUCGGGUCCUAAGCUGAGGCCGACAGGCGUAGGCGAUGGAUAACAGGUUGAUAUUCCUGUACCACCUAUAAUCGUUUUAAUCGAUGGGGGGACGCAGUAGGAUAGGCGAAGCGUGCGAUUGGAUUGCACGUCUAAGCAGUAAGGCUGAGUAUUAGGCAAAUCCGGUACUCGUUAAGGCUGAGCUGUGAUGGGGAGAAGACAUUGAGUCUUCGAGUCGUUGAUUUCACACUGCCGAGAAAAGCCUCUAGAUAGAAAAUAGGUGCCCGUACCGCAAACCGACACAGGUAGUCAAGAUGAGAAUUCUAAGGUGAGCGAGCGAACUCUCGUUAAGGAACUCGGCAAAAUGACCCCGUAACUUCGGGAGAAGGGGUGCUCUUUAGGGUUAACGCCCAGAAGAGCCGCAGUGAAUAGGCCCAAGCGACUGUUUAUCAAAAACACAGGUCUCUGCUAAACCGUAAGGUGAUGUAUAGGGGCUGACGCCUGCCCGGUGCUGGAAGGUUAAGAGGAGUGGUUAGCUUCUGCGAAGCUACGAAUCGAAGCCCCAGUAAACGGCGGCCGUAACUAUAACGGUCCUAAGGUAGCGAAAUUCCUUGUCGGGUAAGUUCCGACCCGCACGAAAGGCGUAACGAUUUGGGCACUGUCUCAACGAGAGACUCGGUGAAAUCAUAGUACCUGUGAAGAUGCAGGUUACCCGCGACAGGACGGAAAGACCCCGUGGAGCUUUACUGUAGCCUGAUAUUGAAAUUCGGCACAGCUUGUACAGGAUAGGUAGGAGCCUUUGAAACGUGAGCGCUAGCUUACGUGGAGGCGCUGGUGGGAUACUACCCUAGCUGUGUUGGCUUUCUAACCCGCACCACUUAUCGUGGUGGGAGACAGUGUCAAGCGGGCAGUUUGACUGGGGCGGUCGCCUCCUAAAAGGUAACGGAGGCGCUCAAAGGUUCCCUCAGAAUGGUUGGAAAUCAUUCAUAGAGUGUAAAGGCAUAAGGGAGCUUGACUGCGAGACCUACAAGUCGAGCAGGGUCGAAAGACGGACUUAGUGAUCCGGUGGUUCCGCAUGGAAGGGCCAUCGCUCAACGGAUAAAAGCUACCCCGGGGAUAACAGGCUUAUCUCCCCCAAGAGUUCACAUCGACGGGGAGGUUUGGCACCUCGAUGUCGGCUCAUCGCAUCCUGGGGCUGUAGUCGGUCCCAAGGGUUGGGCUGUUCGCCCAUUAAAGCGGUACGCGAGCUGGGUUCAGAACGUCGUGAGACAGUUCGGUCCCUAUCCGUCGUGGGCGUAGGAAAUUUGAGAGGAGCUGUCCUUAGUACGAGAGGACCGGGAUGGACAUACCUCUGGUGUACCAGUUGUCGUGCCAACGGCAUAGCUGGGUAGCUAUGUGUGGACGGGAUAAGUGCUGAAAGCAUCUAAGCAUGAAGCCCCCCUCAAGAUGAGAUUUCCCAACUUCGGUUAUAAGAUCCCUCAAAGAUGAUGAGGUUAAUAGGUUCGAGGUGGAAGCAUGGUGACAUGUGGAGCUGACGAAUACUAAUCGAUCGAAGACUUAAUCAA